AUAAUACUCCCUCUGUCCGAAAAUACUUGUCAUCAAAAUGGAUAGAAGGAGAUGUAUCUAGUUCUCGAUACAUCUCUUUUAUUCAUUUUGAUGACAAGUAUUUUUGGACGACUAGAUACAUCUCUUUUUAUUCAUUUUGAUGACAAGUAUUUUUGAACGGAGGGAGUAUCUU
rfam:Triticum aestivum genome assembly, contig: Triticum_aestivum_CS42_TGACv1_scaffold_049872_1BS